CCAAUGAUGGCACCUUUGUUUGAACCCACAUCUUCUGCAAAGAACACCUUGAAAACAAAUCAAGAAAAAGGACUGUAAUCGCAGGCGACAACCGGAGAAGAGCGACAACAGCAAUCAUUCAACAGUGAUGCCAUCAACGGAAUGACAUGAUAGGACAAUCCUGGGAAGAGUCUCUAAGUCUGGAAAGUCUAAAGAUAUACUUUGGCACAUCAGACUCAAGCAUGCGGUCUCCUGAAGUGUGAUGUUGGAAGAACCAGAACUAAUGCUACGAACGUAGCGGGGAAUUGGUCCAGAUGCUUGGGAGACUCACUUAUUUGCAGGUUAGAGAGGCUAUUGAUGAAGGAAGGGGACAGCGUCUGCUCAAGCGCACGAUGCGGAGGCAUAGAAGUAACCGGGUUAUACCUGGUCGGGUGGUCAGUCCUCGGUCGGCAGCAGGGCGGGCGUCGACAGGCUCAACUGGGCACAGGAAGCAAGAAACACGGAAAGCAAACAAGACAAAUCAAGAUGAUGACAUACAGCUGAAAUGUGUGCGAUGAUGGCUUUGGGAUCAGCAAUUUCAAUGAGACCACACAGCUUACUGGUGCACACAGCCCAGCCAUUCCAAGGUGGGAUUACAA